rnacentral:lncRNA from 1 species
UCAGGCCAAGUGGAACUGGAGGAAAUGUCAUCAUUGGUAAAGGAGGACUUGGAGAAGAAACUGUUUAAGCCACUCUCGCAGAAUCUGUACGAGUUUAUUGAAAUAGAGUUCUCCGUCCAGGACAGUGACCAAAAAGGAAGAAGUAAAAAUAGUCAUGGUGAAACACUACAGAAUAGGUUUAGAUGAAAAAUAUGAAGUAACAAAAAAGUGGUCUUUGAACGAUCUGCAGAUGAUUGAUGGAAAAGAAGCAGAUACUGACAAUCCAUUUUUUGAUCUGCACUUCAAGAAAGUGUACAGUUUGGAAGCAUAUAGCUGUGCUUCUAAAUAUGCCUUUGCUCGAACUGUAAAUAAGCUGAAUCAUGCAUAUCUUAAAAAGGACUUACAGAUCGUGAACUUUGAUUCUACAUACAUUAACGAUGAUUCCAUUUGGUCCUCCAACAAUAAGGAUUGUUUGGUCCUUAUGAGAAUAUGCUUUUACGCUUUCAAUCUUGUGUGCUUGUCCCUAUGUCCCUUGCCACUCUGAAGCUGUGUACCACAUUCCUUCAUCAGUGACC